GAUGAACGCUAGCUACAGGCUUAACACAUGCAAGUCGAGGGGUAACGAGAGGAAAGCUUGCUUUCCUUGUCGACGACCGGCGCACGGGUGAGUAACGCGUAUCCAACCUGCCCCCAACUAAGGAAUAACCUUGCGAAAGUAAGACUAAUACCUUAUAAUUUCCUCAGAUGACAUCUGACGAGGAAUAAAGAUUUAUCGGUUGGGAAUGGGGAUGCGUCUGAUUAGCUUGUUGGCGGGGUAACGGCCCACCAAGGCAACGAUCAGUAGGGGUUAUGAGAGGAAGGUCACCCACAUUGGGACUGAGACACGGUCCAAUCUCCUACGGGAGGCAGCAGUGAGGAAUAUUGGUCAAUGGGCGAAAGCCUGAACCAACCAAGUAGCGUGCAGGAUGACUGCCCUAUGGGUUGUAAACUGCUUUUAUACAGGAAUAAAGUUAGCCACGUGUGGUUAUUUGUAGGUACUGUAUGAAUAAGGACCGGCUAAUUCCGUGCCAGCCGCCGCGGUAA
rnacentral:rRNA from 1 species